rnacentral:rRNA from 1 species
GCCUAACACAUGCAAGUCGAACGGUAACAGAAAGCAGCUUGCUGCUUUGCUGACGAGUGGCGGACGGGUGAGUAAUGUCUGGGAAACUGCCCGAUGGAGGGGGAUAACUACUGGAAACGGUAGCUAAUACCGCAUAACGUCGCAAGACCAAAGAGGGGGACCUUCGGGCCUCUUGCCAUCGGAUGUGCCCAGAUGGGAUUAGCUAGUAGGUGGGGUAAAGGCUCACCUAGGCGACGAUCCCUAGCUGGUCUGAGAGGAUGACCAGCCACACUGGAACUGAGACACGGUCCAGACUCCUACGGGAGGCAGCAGUGGGGAAUAUUGCACAAUGGGCGCAAGCCUGAUGCAGCCAUGCCGCGUGUAUGAAGAAGGCCUUCGGGUUGUAAAGUACUUUCAGCGGGGAGGAAGGGAGUAAAGUUAAUACCUUUGCUCAUUGACGUUACCCGCAGAAGAAGCACCGGCUAACUCCGUGCCAGCAGCCGCGGUAAUACGGAGGGUACAAGCGUUAAUCGGAAUUACUGGGCGUAAAGCGCACGCAGGCGGUUUGUUAAGUCAGAUGUGAAAUCCCCGGGCUCAACCUGGGAACUGCAUCUGAUACUGGCAAGCUUGAGUCUCGUAGAGGGGGGUAGAAUUCCAGGUGUAGCGGUGAAAUGCGUAGAGAUCUGGAGGAAUACCGGUGGCGAAGGCGGCCCCCUGGACGAAGACUGACGCUCAGGUGCGAAAGCGUGGGGAGCAAACAGGAUUAGAUACCCUGGUAGUCCACGCCGUAAACGAUGUCGACUUGGAGGUUGUGCCCUUGAGGCGUGGCUUCCGGAGCUAACGCGUUAAGUCGACCGCCUGGGGAGUACGGCCGCAAGGUUAAAACUCAAAUGAAUUGACGGGGGCCCGCACAAGCGGUGGAGCAUGUGGUUUAAUUCGAUGCAACGCGAAGAACCUUACCUGGUCUUGACAUCCACGGAAGUUUUCAGAGAUGAGAAUGUGCCUUCGGGAACCGUGAGACAGGUGCUGCAUGGCUGUCGUCAGCUCGUGUUGUGAAAUGUUGGGUUAAGUCCCGCAACGAGCGCAACCCUUAUCCUUUGUUGCCAGCGGUCCGGCCGGGAACUCAAAGGAGACUGCCAGUGAUAAACUGGAGGAAGGUGGGGAUGACGUCAAGUCAUCAUGGCCCUUACGACCAGGGCUACACACGUGCUACAAUGGCGCAUACAAAGAGAAGCGACCUCGCGAGAGCAAGCGGACCUCAUAAAGUGCGUCGUAGUCCGGAUUGGAGUCUGCAACUCGACUCCAUGAAGUCGGAAUCGCUAGUAAUCGUGGAUCAGAAUGCCACGGUGAAUACGUUCCCGGGCCUUGUACACACCGCCCGUCACACCAUGGGAGUGGGUUGCAAAAGAAGUAGGUAGCUUAACCUUCGGGAGGGCGCUUACCACUUUGUGAUUCAUGACUGGGGUGAAG